CUGUCUGCUAAGAAUAGCACUUCAGUCAGUCAGCCAAGACGGAUGGGUUUGGUUACAGAGGCGCCCAUCAAAGGGCUGUGGAGUGCCGCGUCCCCCCGCUGUCCCCUCCCCAGGUCUUGUUUCUCUGCUGCCAAGGAAACGCUCCCUUGCUCUCCUCCCAGAACAUGCACAUGUUCUCCAGGUCUAUUGUGACUCAGCCUCUGCUGACACCGGGGCCAGCAGCUGUGUCUUACUCAGGAGCAUCGCCCCUCCCAGCUGUGCCUCAGAGCCCAUCCUGCCCCUUCGGCACAGGGGAACUGCUGUAAACAUUCCAGGAAUUACGUUCUCUUGGCACUAACACAAGGUGAUCUGUGUAACAGUACUUGUGAAGGAGAUGGCGGCUGAAUCUUAGGUUGUUUCUUAGUAUCUCCAGUGCUGAAGACUUCUGGAGGGGGCUCCUCCCCUCGCUCGAUCUUGCACUCGAAGGCAAACAGGGACAGAGAAAGCACUGAGGCUGCUACACAAGCUGGAACACGUAACUUCUCACCAUAUCCUCUUCUUGCAUCUGUCAGCUGGGCUCUGUGCCAUGUGUGGAUGGACCACACACCGUCUAAGGCCUCUGAUCGGACAGCAGAGAGGAGCUGCUACCACUGAUGGCAGACCCUCCCACUUGCACAGGGUGAAGUGAUUUGCCCUGCACUGGAAGAUGGAGUGUCUUAGAACUAAACACAAGAGAGAAAGACUGAUAUAAAGCUUUGGGAAAGGAGCCAAGUACAUGAAGGGAAACAUACUCUUUAUACAGUAAAAUCCUAAACUUGCUUGUUGACUGCAGUAGAUGUGUCAAAAUCAUCUAGUCAAUCACUCUUUUCCUCCUUUGCCUUUCCUUACUUUGAACAGGAGACAGUACUGCUCUAAAGAAAAGAACAUCUUAAUUCUAGUUGAACACUUCUAAACAAGACUCUAGAAGUGUCCCAUGGGUGCUACAGCCACUUGUGCAUGCCCCCACACUGUGAUGGUGAGCCCUGGCACUUGACACAAUGAAAGAUGCACCAUAAUAGCAUCCAACUGCCAAUGAUUUUAAAAGCAUUGCCACCAUUCAUCUUGCACAUUAGCCUGGAAAAUAUGACAGACUCUGUAUCUCCCUCCAGCUGAAACUUGGCAAUACUGGAGGAGAGCCAGAAGAAAAGAAACACGAAGCCAAGAGAGUGUGAUCCAACAGUUCCAUGAGCCAUUGCUGUUCUUUCCAGUGAAUGGAUAUUCGUUUUAAUUAAAUAAAUAGCCACCCAUAAGGUUUUCUGCUUUACUUCCUGCAACUCCCUUGCAGUAGUCCUUCCUACAGACAGAUAAUAUUACCUUCUUCACUUAGAAACGAGAUACUGCCUUGAAUUCACUUCAGUCAGAUUCACUUGUGUUAGAAAUCCUAGUAAAGUCAAGGCUGAAUUUGUUUUACUAAUAUUAAGUGCCUGGCAAGAAAGUAUUCUGAUAUGUCCUGCAGAUUUUGAUUAUGCAAUGGAAGCAAACUGAUUCUGCAAUGGCAACCACUUUACUCAAAACAUCACUUGUUAUGUAUUCAGGUGUUCAAGAGAAUUAAUUUUUUUCAACAAAUAUACUUUGUCAAAGAUUUUUUUGGUGGUGGGUGCAGUGAGGGCUGUAGGCAAGUCAUAUUGCUACUAAUACGAUUUUGUAAUGUAAGCAGAUAGAUGAUUUCAUAGACUCAAACAGCAGAGUAAAUUGAUGCUCCUCUACAACUCCUCUACAACUGCAGUAAUAACAAGCUACAUUACUGUUCAUCAGCAUUACCAUUAAUUUUAAUUCGCACUUAGGAAGCUAAGGAACUCCAGUAAAAAUGAGGGUAGGAAAUUUCACCUUUUACCCAGUAAAUAUUGUAUGCCCUUGUAUUUUAACAUGUAAGGCAACAAAGAAGUUUCUAUUUCAAAUUUAUGGUAGUUCACCAUUAAGAAUGUUCAGAUUUACCAGUUUUAUGCUUUGGUUUUUAUAUGGUAAGAUUCUCUUUUUCAAAUCAGACUCAGCAGAAUGGAAGCCAGUAAAGAAUUUCAUUCCGUAUUCUUCUACUGUACAUCUCAAAUAAUGCUGCUUUUCAGCAAUGCGGCAGCAGGCUCUAAAAUGACAGUAUAAUCUGAAAACUUUUCACAGCUUACAGAAGGUAAGAAGUGUUUCUUACUGUGUUAGCUUUCAGGUUGUCAGGCUUUGUAAAAUGGGCACAAUUUUCUUCUAAACUGAAAUGUUAACUUUAGAAGAAUGCACUGGUGGGAAAAACGCUAUUCCUCAAGAGUAAAGAUCUUUUUUUCUUCUCUAUUUUUAUAAAUGUAAACAUAUAAAAAUGACAGAUGUGUGCAAACUAGUCUACACACAAACUUCAGAUCCACAAGGGCGCAUUCGGCUGGAAGCCUAAAUCUGCCUAUAGGUCACUGUUAACUCCCAGAAAAUACAGGUUUAUUACAAGAUGACACCAUUAACAGAUCCUUAGCUGAAGUGAGUGCAAGCAAGGCAAUGCUGAAAGAAAACAGAUGAUGAGCUUUUCUUUGAUUUGUUGAUAAUUCUGGUAAAAAAUAUUGGUGCAAUCCUGUUGCAUAUACCUUCGUUAACUUAGCUGUAUCCUACUCUGCCCUCAAUUCCCAGUCAUUCUACAGAUGUUACUAUCCAUCUUUAAAUGGAUGAUAAAAAAACACAAAACAACAACAAAAAAACUCAACAAAGAAUACAGAUGCCAAAGCCAAUUCCCCUAUUAAAUUUGCCUAACCCCAUACUUUAUUUUCAAUAUAUCUAUCCCCUAUUGAAGUUGUGCAGCUUUAAUACAGACUGUGGCAUGGUGAAGCUACCUAACCCUUCAGAGCAACAAAAACUUCUUACUAUGAAAUUUUCACAUUAAGGCAGUGGUAGUUGUUUCUGCACAUUUCCCUAUCUACCUGUAUUUAUAGAACUAUCUACUGUUCACUUUUCCCACUUCAGUAAAGGAUUUGCCAACACUACACUUACUACACAGUGCUCUUUCACUACAGAACAGUGUGCAUAUACAGGUAGUAAAACUGGCUGCAGGCCAAUCUCAGACAGAGGCUGUCACAGGACACAGUCCUCUGCCAAGAUAUAUCCUGGAGGACUUUGCAAAGCCCCUCAAAGCUAGCACCACAGAGACACAGUGCUACCCAGGUGUCUCUACUGUUAUGUUCAUGUGUAACUACAAACAGUGGACAGCAUUUUAUGGGAUUUUCAUAACCUACUGUUUUACUCAUGUUGCAGUGACCAUGCACAGUGCAUACUCAUUUUCAAAUUCUCUUUUGAAGAAUUUUAAAGACACUUAGCCACUGUGAGGGACACAGGCUACGUAUAAAAUUCACACAGCAAAAGCGAACUUUUAUCUUAACACUUAAGAACCCUUACAACAUAAUGGUGAACGAUUCCUUCUCUACAUUUUCUCAUGCCUCAAUUCCAUAUAGAACUACUCAAAGAGAGGACUCACUUUGUAGGAUCACAAGUACAUCGUGAGACCAUUCACCCUUGCUUUUACCCUCUGCUGAAAUGGAGAAGUUGCAGCACAAGAAGCUGCUCUGGGAUUUAAUGAACAAAUCUGGUCUGUUUCCAAGUGUAACAAAACGACUGCAAUCAAUCUUCCAGUCUAUGUCAGGCUGCUGUUAAGGUCGAUGAAGUUAUCCAAUACAGUGGCUUUCAUAGGUAAAAAGAGAUCGGCUAAUUUAAAGCACUUAUUUUUCUAUCAUUCUAAAGCACUGUAUUUAUCCCAACCUGUGCACCAAGAAGCUAAGUGGAGCUAAAGAUGUAGCAGCAUUUGAACAGAAGGGUAUUCAGAAGAGAAGCUUUUUACACUGAAAGCACAAACUUUGUCCAUUUGUUUUUUCCAACACUAUACUUGCUGUAUUUACAUGGAAAAUACUCCACGGUGGCUCUAGGAUUUAUUAUGUAGUUCAUACAAUGAGCUCAGGAACGCGCUGUAGAAGAAUUUGAUGGGUUAGAUAACCUAUGCAGUAGCCUUGCUUUCCUCCCAGACAAGCAACAGUCAAAACAUUACUACAAACAAAACCAACCCCAUUUUUUUUGUGUCCCACCCCCUUAUAAAUGUUGCUAAGAACAAAAUGAGAUUUUGUGGGAACAAGUAACACCAGCUGCCUUCUGAGACUCAAAGUUGCUGCCAAAUAAACAUCAAAACAUCCAGGUGGUGUGCUUCAUGCCAUGCUGCUUCUCUGCUCAGGGCAUUCGUUAAUGUCUGGCUUUCUGAAGGGAAGACCUUUUUUCCUCCAAUUGGCCUUCCUCUAAUUUCCAAGACACAGUCAUCAACAUAAAACUUUGUGAAAAUUAAAUUGGUACCAAGGAAUUGUUGGUAUUUUAAGUGCAUGUUAGCAUAGGAAGAAGAAACUUGAUAUUCCUCACAAAAAUCUGUUGCAAUAUUUUUCUCAAGUGAGAAAAUAUAAUCAUUAUUUUUAGUAGAAAGAAUAGGAACUACAUACAUUUUCAUGAUAAAAAAAAAAAAAAAGCAAAAAUAGCUAAGUGGACACUUGCUCCCCAGAAGCCACAUAUUCUGCAUUCUCUUUUUUUCUGUAUGUAUAUACACGUACACAGAUUUUUCUGUGUGCAUAUAUAAAUAUAUGCCAUUUAUAUUUUAGCUCCAUGCAUCUCUCUCAGGUUUUUCCUGGACGAGAAUGACUAAACACGAUUCACCUAAAAAUAGUUUUCUAAAAACUUACACAUAUCAUUUUUUUUUCUACCCACAAUCUGGGUUAUUUCAAAACAACUGAAUGAAGCAAAUCAGAAACAAUUUUGUUUUAGAUUGUGCCCUGAGAACUCAAUAAUCAUAUUUCCAAAUACACAAUUCAAAAUUAAAAAUGCUUCAAAAACGCACAUGGCAGCUUUUUUUGUGGCGCUAAGGCUACAAUUCAAAUGUUGCUGGAUCUCAGUUUUUGUUGUGUGGGAUUUAUUUUUUAAUUUUUUUAUUUUUCCUAAAUAACACUAGCAAAGACAAAUGCAGCAACCAGAGUGAAAUCAGUUGUGUGAAGGAGUUUGGGCCCAGGAACAGAAAUGGAAUUGUCCUUAACAACACAGUCGGCAUGCUUGGAAGCUGAUGCAUUACAGGAUGUUUUCUUCACAACAACUGCUGUAUUACCAGACAGCACAUUUGCAUGAUGCACACGAUUUUACUCUUUCUUAUUUUAAAGUACUGUUGGGACAAAUUUUGCCCUUGGAAAAGCAUGCUCAGGCCCCACUGAAGCCAGGCAGUGGAACUUACAGCCAUGUGUCCAGGAGCAGAAUUUGUACCCAGUGUUACAAAGAAAGAUAACUGUUUAGUGGAUAAAUAAUGAAGAAAA